rnacentral:rRNA from 1 species
GAUGAACGCUGGCGGCGUGCCUAAUACAUGCAAGUCGAGCGAACGGACGAGAAGCUUGCUUCUCUGAUGUUAGCGGCGGACGGGUGAGUAACACGUGGAUAACCUACCUAUAAGACUGGGAUAACUUCGGGAAACCGGAGCUAAUACCGGAUAAUAUUUUGAACCGCAUGGUUCAAAAGUGAAAGACGGUCUUGCUGUCACUUAUAGAUGGAUCCGCGCUGCAUUAGCUAGUUGGUAAGGUAACGGCUUACCAAGGCAACGAUGCAUAGCCGACCUGAGAGGGUGAUCGGCCACACUGGAACUGAGACACGGUCCAGACUCCUACGGGAGGCAGCAGUAGGGAAUCUUCCGCAAUGGGCGAAAGCCUGACGGAGCAACGCCGCGUGAGUGAUGAAGGUCUUCGGAUCGUAAAACUCUGUUAUUAGGGAAGAACAUAUGUGUAAGUAACUGUGCACAUCUUGACGGUACCUAAUCAGAAAGCCCCGGCUAACUACGUGCCCGCAGCCGCGGUAAUACGUAGGUGGCAAGCGUUAUCCGGGAUUAUUGGGCGUAAAGCGCGCGUAAGCCGGUUUUUUAGUCUGAUGUGAAAGCCCACGGCUCAACCUUGGAGGGUCAUUGGAAACUGGAAAACUUGAGUGCAGAAGAGGAAAGUGGAAUUCCAUGUGUAGCGGUGAAAUGCGCAGAGAUAUGGAGGAACACCAGUGGCGAAGGCGACUUUCUGGUCUGUAACUGACGCUGAUGUGCGAAAGCGUGGGGAUCAAACAGGAUUAGAUACCCUGGUAGUCCACGCCGUAAACGAUGAGUGCUAAGUGUUAGGGGGUUUCCGCCCCUUAGUGCUGCAGCUAACGCAUUAAGCACUCCGCCUGGGGAGUACGACCGCAAGGUUGAAACUCAAAGGAAUUGACGGGGACCCGCACAAGCGGUGGAGCAUGUGGCUUAAUUCGAAGCAACGCGAAGAACCUUACCAAAUCUUGACAUCCUUUGACAACUCUAGAGAUAGAGCCUUCCCCUUCGGGGGACAAAGUGACAGGUGGUGCAUGGUUGUCGUCAGCUCGUGUCGUGAGAUGUUGGGUUAAGUCCCGCAACGAGCGCAACCCUUAAGCUUAGUUGCCAUCAUUAAGUUGGGCACUCUAAGUUGACUGCCGGUGACAAACCGGAGGAAGGUGGGGAUGACGUCAAAUCAUCAUGCCCCUUAUGAUUUGGGCUACACACGUGCUACAAUGGACAAUACAAAGGGCAGCGAAACCGCGAGGUCAAGCAAAUCCCAUAAAGUUGUUCUCAGUUCGGAUUGUAGUCUGCAACUCGACUACAUGAAGCUGGAAUCGCUAGUAAUCGUAGAUCAGCAUGCUACGGUGAAUACGUUCCCGGGUCU